ACCCCGUCUCUCUACCUCGCCUCGCCUCUCCCGACCCCCACUCCCAAUCGCCGCAACCGCACCACCAGCGCCGCCCUGAUCGGCACCGAUGGCGGGUGAUCCGACCGGCGCCGGCGGCGGUGGCUCCGCGGAGGGCCUCUCUCCCCCCCCCCCCCACCCCAUCUCUCUGCCUCGCCUCGCCUCUCCCGACCCCCCACUCCCAAUCGCCGCAACCGCACCACCAGCGCCGCCCUGAUCGGCACCGAUGGCGGGUGAUCCGACCAGCGCCGGCGGCGGUGGCUCCGUGGCGGGCAAGGGUCCCCGCUCGUCGACGCGCCACCAGCAGUUUCGUGACCGUGCCAAGACCCGCGUGGACGACCUCCAGGAGAUCUUCUUCGGCCUCCAGUCCGCCCGCAAGGAGAGCCGCUCCGCCGACGCCGCCGUCCUCGAGGAGCAGGUCCAGCGUCGCCUCCCCCGCAUCCUCCCAACAGGUGGCCCCACAAACCCUAGCCUUCCCUCCCCUCGCCGCAACCGCACCACCAGCGCCGCCCUGAUCGGCACCAAUGGCGGGCGAUCUGAUCGGCAGCGGCGGUGGUGGCUCCGCGACGGGCAAGGGUCCCCGCUCGUCGACGCGCCACCAGCAGUUUCGCGACCGCGCCAAGACCCGCGUGGACGACCUCCAGGAGAUCUUCUUCGGCCUCCAGUCCGCUCGCAAGGAGAGCCGCUCCGCCGACGCCGCCGUCCUCGAGGAGCAGGUCCAGCGUCGCCUCCCCUGCAUCCUCCCUACAGAAUUCGCUGGGGAACAAGCAGGUGAUGGAGGUGCAUAUAACCGAAGAUGUUUACCUAAAUUCUGCAUGUUGUCGGGGUGAUGAUAAACUCGCCUACAUGGCUACAUGUGCACGUGAGACAUCAUCUAGGCCCUUGUUAAGGCAAGUCACAAACUAAUGCUUGAUAUUUAAUCUUGUAUUGGUGUUUGAUCUGUAGCUAAUUGUUUAUAUGAUGGAUUAUGUGCAAGACAAAGAUUAUUCUUGUUGAGGAGGAGGAGGAGGAGGAAGCGAGGUGUCGAGUUGCUUGUGGUUGGGCGGCGAGCGGAGAGCCGCGAGUUGCCGCUGACGGCCGACAUAUCGGACUGGAGCGAGCACUUGAAGCUGUGGGUUCUCGGGGACCUGCUCACGUCCGUCGACUUUGGAUCCCGGUUGUCCAUGCUGGUGGUGCAGCAGCAGACCAAGGCGGCCGCUCGAAUGAGGUUGUCAUAGCCUUCCUCCUCCUUCGCCCUGACAACCACCAGGUGGGCGUGAAUUUGAUCAUCACUACUACAACAUGACAGAGGAUACGAUCUGCUGAGGAGGGUCAAGGAAGAUGAGAGCAGGAGGGAUGAGAAUCUUAAGUACAACUGCAAGUGUUCUUUCCUGGAGAUCUAUAAUGAACAAAUUACAGAUCUUCUUGACCCGUCAUCCACAAAUCUUCAAUCACAUCAUAACACUUUUGGCGAGGUCGCGGUCCAUGCCGCUGGGCUGCCACGACGUCGUGCCCCGGGCCAUGCCGCUGUUCCACCAGACCAUGAAGGAGCACGGUAAAAUGUCUAUCACUUGGUUUGGACCGUCACCUAGAGUGACCAUUAGCAAGCCUGAACUUGUGCGCGAAGUUCUGUCCAACAAGUCCGGCCACUUUGAGAAGCUCAAGUUGGGCCGUCUUCAGAGGAUGUUGCACAACGGCAUUGGUAGCCACGAGCGCUAGAAAUGGGCCAAGCACAGGAAGAUCAUCAACCCUAUGUUCCAUCUCGAGAAGCUCAAGCGCAUGUUGACAGCUUUCGCUGCAUGUUGCACGGACCUGGUGCAGAGAUGAGAAGGCCUAGCCGCAGGUGAUGCGCCAUGCGAGGUAGAUGUGUGGCCCGACAUGCAGAACCUGACAGGGGAUGUCAUCUCUCGCGCUGCGUUCGGUAGCAGCUACCUGGAGGGCAGGAGGAUCUUCCAGCUUCAAGGGGAGCAAAUCGAGCUCGCCGUGCUCGCCAUGAACAAGAUACAUAUCCCUGGUUAUUUGUUCUGGCCUACAAAAGCCAACCGAAGGAUGAGACAGAUUGCUGCCAAGAUCGAGAGGAUCCUCAAGGGCAUCAUCGCGAAAAGAGAGAACGCCUUGAUGGCCGGCUAAGCCACAAGCGACGAUCUCCUCGGGCUGCUGCUGGAGUCCAACAUGGCACACAGCAGGGAGGGCGGCAACUCCAAGGCCGGCAUCACGACCGACGACGUGAUCGGAGAGUGCAAGCUCUUCUACUUCGUCGGCAUGGAGACCACGUCGGUGCUGCUCACAUGGACGAUGAUCGUCCUCUGCAUGCACCCAGAGUGGCAGGACCGCGCCAGGGAGGAGGUCCUGCAAGUCUUCGGCGACCGCACGCCGGAUUACGACGGGUUAAGUCGCCUGAGGAUUGUGACCAUGGUGCUGUACGAGGUGCUGCGGCUGUACACGCCGCUGACGGCGCUCCAGCGCAAGACGUACAAGAAUUUCCAACCAAUAAUAAGACCAUAG